UACGGGGGGGGCAAGCGUUGUUCGGAAUUACUGGGCGUAAAGGGCUCGUAGGUGGCCAACUAAGUCAUACGUGAAAUCCCUCGGCUUAACCGGGGAACUGCGUCUGAUACUGGAUGGCUUGAGGUUGGGAGAGGGAUGCGGAAUUCCCGGUGUAGCGGUGAAAUGCGCAGAUAUCGGGAAGAACACCCGUGGCGAAGGCGGCUCUCUGGGACGGUACUGACGCUGAGACGCGAAAGCGUGGGGAGCAAACAGG
rnacentral:rRNA from 1 species